rnacentral:lncRNA from 1 species
UCCAGUACUAUGUUGAAUAACAGUGAUGAAAGUGGGCAUCUUUGUCAUGUUCCAGAUCGUAGAGGAAAGGCUCUCAGUUUUUCCUCAUUUAGUAUCAUACUGUGGGACUGUCAUAUAUGGCUUUAUUAUGUUGAGCUGUUUCCAUGGAGUCGGGAGAAGAGGAGCCUGUGAAGCUUUGCAGCCCAAAGGCUUUCUCGUUUUCUGCUGUGGCAAGGACAAAUGCAUGCAGCAGAUUGACUUAGGGUGUGACUGGCUGGCCAGCGCCGUCCGCAUCUCGAACUCACCUGGACACAUGGACACCAGGCGUCCGCUGGCAACUCUCUUUAUUCUGGGUCCUGUGCUGGUCAUUGCAUUUGCAGGAUAAAGCUGCCCUCUCAGAAGAGGUCCUCAUGUUUAGAAAGUGUAUUUUAGCUGUGCUGGUCAUUGCAUGUGCAGGAUAAAACUUCUGCCCUCUCAGAAGAGGUCCUUGUGUUUAGAAAGCGUAUUUCAGCUGCCUCUGGGCCCUCACACCCCGUCAUGUAUUCACUUCCUUCCAUGUGACCUCUGCCCAAUGUCAACUGUUUUUGGCAUCUUCACAUAUAUUUUGGAUUCUGUGGGUUUUAUCUGUUUUCCUAAUUUCACCAAAAAAUGAAAGUUUCCAUUAAAAAAAAAACUGUACAUUGUGAUCCAGCGAUCCCACUACUGGGUAUUUAUCCAAAGGACAUGAUGUCAGUAUGUUGAAGAGACAUCUGCAGCCCCAUGUUUACUGCAGCACCAUCCACAACAGCUAAGAAAUGGAAUCAACCUAAAUGUCCAUAGUUGAUGCAUGGAUAAAGCAAAUGAGGUCCAUUGACACAAUGGAAUACUCUUUAGACUUUAAAAAGAAUGAAACCCUGUCAUUUGCAACAACGGAUGGAUCUGGAGGACAGUGUGUUAACUAAAAUAAGCCAGGCAUAGAAAGCAAAUACUGUAUGAUCUCAUUCAUCUGUGGAAUCUUAAAAAGCUGAACUCAUACGUAGAGUAUAGAGUGGUAGUUACCAGGGCCAGGGGCCGGGGUGGGGGAUGCUGGUGAAAGGAUGCACAGCCUGAGCUGGCAGGAGGGUGAGGUCGGGAGCUUGGCUAUGCAUGACGGUGACCACAGUUGACAACAAUGUAUUGCAUUCUUAAAAAAUACUAAGAGAGUGGAUUUUAAGCAUUCUCGCCACAAAAGAUGACAAGUAUGUGAAGUAAUGCGUGUUAAAUUAGCUCAACGUUGCUGUUCCACGAUGUAUACAUAUUUUAAAGCAUCAUGUUGUACACAAUAAAUAUAUACGGCUUCAUUUGUCAAUUAAAACAUGAAUUAAAAAAGAAAA